rnacentral:rRNA from 1 species
UACGAAGGGGGCUAGCGUUGCUCGGAAUGACUGGGCGUAAAGGGCGCGUAGGCGGAUGGCACAGUCAGAUGUGAAAUUCCCGGGCUUAACCUGGGGGCUGCAUUUGAUACGUGUUGUCUAGAGUGAGGAAGAGGGUUGUGGAAUUCCCAGUGUAGAGGUGAAAUUCGUAGAUAGUUGGGAAGAACACCGGUGGCGAAGGCGGCAACCUGGUCCUUGACUGACGCUGAGACGCGAAAGCGUGGGGAGCGAACAGG